GCUCAGCUGACACAUCCCGGCCAAUCUCCAGCAGACCCUCCCUCCCAGACCCUCCCACCUCCUGGACAGCAUCCAUGUUGAAGGCAGCAUGGAUGAUGUCCAGGAGGUGGGAGGGUCUGGGAGGGAGGGUCUGCUGGAGAUGUGCCGGGAUGUGUCAGCUG
rnacentral:miRNA from 1 species